ACAAUAAAGAACAACAAAAUUUGUUCAACAAAAAAGAAGCAUGUACAAAUUCGAUAUUAAAAAUGUAAUAUCUAUUUUCAAAAUAAUUCAAAAUAUGCAAUUUUACAAUACCGGCCGUAAGAGCUGAUAAGAGCACGAGCUGAUAAGAGAGCACGUCUUAAAGCCAGAUGUAGCGUUCCGCUACGUUUACGAGUAGCCACUCCCGACAACCGUAAUAAUUAACAUCGAAUAACAAAAAGUUACCUUACGAUCGAGGUAGGAAAAUGAAAACAGAAUUAGUGCUAGCUAACCAACGACUUAAGAAGGUCAAAUACAGACAAAUAUGUGUUGGAGAAAAAACGGCAGAUGUCAUACAUAAAAGAAUAGGAGAUAUUCAAUAAAUCUAUUUUGGAAUUGCAAUUACAAAGCAAGCUAAAUAUAUCUGUAAAGAUAUAAUAUACCUAAAAUGAACGUCUGCCGUACCUAGAGAAUUAUAAAAUAGAACCAAGCUUUUAACAUCCCACAAAGACAACUUAUAUGGAAAAUGCACUAAGAAUAACAUCCCUAUUAAUUAUCCGGAAAGUAAAUCUUCCCCAAGAUGUGUAUACUCAUAGAGCCGCUUACCGUCUGAUAAACCGGCAAGUCCAUAAGCCAACACUUGGAAUUAGAGCUGAAGGAAGUUCAUCUAGAUUGGAACAAAGAUAAGUGUACUUAAUUAAUGUUCUCAUUUAUAGACCGAAUUGUGUUCCGCAAUAUAUUAUAUAUUUAUUCUA
rnacentral:lncRNA from 1 species